rnacentral:tRNA from 1 species
GCCGGGGUGGCGGAGGCGGAUAACGCGCAGGCCUUGAGAGCCUGUGGCCCAUUUGGGCCGCGUGGGUUCAAAUCCCACCCCCGGCG